UACGUAGGGCGCAAGCGUUGUCCGGAAUUAUUGGGCGUAAAGAGCUCGUAGGUGGUUUGUCGCGUCUGUCGUGAAAGCCCAUGGCUUAACUGUGGGUCUGCGGUGGAUACUGUCGAGCUAGAGUCCGGAAGAGGCGAGUGGAAUUCCUGGUGUAGCGGUGAAAUGCGCAGAUAUCAGGAGGAACACCCGUGGCUAAGGCGGUUCUCUAGUACGGUACUGACGCUGAGACGCGAAAGCGUGGGGAGCGAACAGG
rnacentral:rRNA from 1 species